AUGCGCCGGUCACAGCCCCAACUUUCACCUGUUGUAGCAAAAAACGACUCCAUGCGUAGCAAUUGGCACACUGGUUGCAACUUCACCGUGCACCGAGCGCAACUCUGCCGUAGCCGGUUGCAGCUGGGAGCAUCCGGCCUGGAUGCUACGACCAAUGUGCGCUGCCAAUCCGACCUGGAUGCUACGACCGAUGUGCGCUGCCCAGAUGCUGCAACCGGCAUGGGGCGUGACUGGGAUCAAUAG
rnacentral:rRNA from 1 species